GGGGUAUCACAUAAGUAUGUCACUUGAGGAGAGAGAGAUCAUUUUCUCUUCUGCCCCAUAGCCGGCUCUCCCUUCUCUCUCUUUCCUACUUUUCUUUUUCUUUUGAUCUACCAUUUCUAAGGCCUAUAUCAUCUACCUCCUUUGAGAUUUGGACUCAACGUAGAAGAGAAAAAGUUUGUGGACUCCGGUGGGAACAAAAUCAUUGGUUUUGUUUUGGAUCGAUUUGGAGCACUUUCCAUUUUGAAUUUCUAGGUUUACAUUCCUAAAUUGAGGUAAAUGCAUCAUCAUCGAGUAUCCUCCAUAUCCUUAGUUCAUGUGGAGCUCUUAUGGCAUUUCUUUGACUUUUGGGAUAUUGUUUUCAUGUUAUUAUGUAAAGCAUGUUCGGAUUGUAAUAUGACUUGGAUAUAUGUAUUUGGGAUAUGUAAUAUCUUAGUAAUGGUAUGGAUAUCUAAUAUUGGGACAAGUUGAUGUAAUGAGGCCAUAAGGCCAUUUUAAUGUUAAUGUUAAUGUAUGUUUUCUAUCA